UACGUAGGGUCCGAGCGUUGUCCGGAAUUACUGGGCGUAAAGAGCUCGUAGGUGGUUUGUCGCGUUGUUCGUGAAAACUCACAGCUCAACUGUGGGCGUGCGGGCGAUACGGGCAGACUUGAGUACUGCAGGGGAGACUGGAAUUCCUGGUGUAGCGGUGGAAUGCGCAGAUAUCAGGAGGAACACCGGUGGCGAAGGCGGGUCUCUGGGCAGUAACUGACGCUGAGACACGAAGGCCAGGGGAGCAAACGGG
rnacentral:rRNA from 1 species